UUCCAGUAAUGAUUCCACAGUGACAGUAGUGUAUAGAGGCAGGUUAACACACAUAACUAAACCAGAUUAGUUUUGAUUUGAAGGUCUCUUUAACUUUUCAUCAAAUCCCUUUUAUAAAACUCAACAUUCUGAAACUCAAACAGCAACAUCAGAACAGAUCUCAGAACUGCGGCGAUGUUUCCUCUGUUCUGCUCAUCACAAGCUGGACAUCUUGAUGUGUGUGAUUGAACAGAUAUGGGCUGUAGAAAGAAAAUCACACAUCCAGAAAACUGCUGGAGCCUCAGAAAUCACAGAGCAGCAGAAAACAAGAAGACAGAGAGAAAAAUGGAGACACAAACCAGUGGAUCACAAGAGAAAAGAGGACUGAGACUUCAGAGACACCACAGUAUGUUGAGAAUAAACCAGACUGUGAGGUUUUGAUCAUUAUAGAAUUUGCUAUAGAUGUAGUUAUUGUUGGAUGAAAAACCAGACUGAGGGUCUGUUUACAAUGACACUGUUUUCAACACUUUUUUAAUGCAUUUUGGCCGUUCGUUUACUUGGCAACAGCAUUUUGUAUGCCUGAAAACACAAACUUUUGAAGUGCAAGUUUUUGAAAAUGAUACCGUUAUCAUUUCCGUGUAAACUACGAAAACAUGAAUUUGUGAAUUUAAUAAAGGAUGUUUUAUUAAAAAGGUCGGGAGCAACAUGUUCAAAUGAUCAGCAAUGAACGAGCAACAUGUCUACCCAAUUUGUAUGAGUGGAGGCCUACACACACACACACACACACACACACACACACACAACUAGAGUUACAAACAAGAGCUACUCAGUGAAGAUGUUUUCACCUCAGUCAGUAACAAGCUCUCUGAGAUCUCGGCACCUGAUGGCGCGAUAACGGAGCACAUUCUCUCAGAGAUGAUGGGAGACGAAUUUCAACAUAAUAUGCUGAUAAUAACGCUUCAGACAACAACAUCAUCAUCAUCAGAGACCAGCCGUGGGUAUUUCCAUCUCUUCAGCUCAUCACGAGUAAUCUUUUGGUAAAUCAGGAUGGCUUCAGAAGGAUUUUGUGUGGAUCAUGGAUCAAGGAAGACACAUUGGUGGGGAAAGAAGAGUGUCAGAGAGAGAGAGAUACAAACUAAAGAUCCAGGAGAGAAACAGAUCCUCAGACGAGUCAGACGAAACAGCAUUAACAGUGGAGCACCAAACUUUUCUCAUGAUCCAGAGAUUGAGUCUGAUGAUUCAGAGACGCUCACAGAUGAGGGGAAACACUCACUUGACAUUUGAUAUUCAACAGUGUUUUGAUCUGCAUUGACACCCCUGUAUGUGAACUGAACUGAGCUGGAUGAUGACAUCACUGUUACUCCAGUGCUGAUAUAUAGAUAAAUUAACUAAAUUAAUAACUAUCGAUUCUUACAACGGAAUGAAUCAAUACUAAAUUUACUUAAGAUGGAUAAUGACACCAUUUUCUUUAAGAGCUGCUUUGCAGCCAAAAUUAUAUACCACUGUAAAGCUGCUUUGACACAAUCUGCAUUGUUAAAAGCGCUAUAGAAAUAAAGGUGACUUGACUGAUCAGAUAAUGAAGUUCAAACUGAAGAACUGAUACAGAAAUCUGAUGUGAUAUGAGUUGUAUGUGUGUGUGUUUCCUCUUUAGAUAGCUGUAGUUCCUGUCGUCUCACCAGCAGAAGUUUUUCUUCAGAAGUUGUUCAGUCACUGAAUGAGUGUAUAUUAAUUAUAGUUUAUAUUUCAGUAUUAUUCAGUUCUGGCUCUAAUAAGCAGUACAAGCGGUUGCACAGGAUCAGCAGAGGAACAUCUCACAUUCACACAGUAAUGACUGGAUUGAUAAAGUUUGCUUUUGUCAAUCGAUUUGAUCAUGUUUGAAAAUAAAGAGAUGGCACUAAUAUUACUGUAAUGAACAUGAACAGUGUUAUUGUGGGCAUUUUAAAAUCAAAUUUUAGAUAUUAUUAUCCCUCAAGCAGUUAAAAGUUUGAUGUGAACAAAAGCAGCAGAAGUGAUGAACAGAAGUGCAGAUUCACUCUCUGACAGACAGGUGGCGCUCAUAUAACAGAAAUACAGGGGCACAUUUUCAUCUUCACUUUCAUUAAAACCUGAAGGUUAAUUGAGUGAAAUCAUUAAAUAUGCAUUCAAAGUGUUGCUAUUAUUACAUAUCUUCAAUUAAAAUAUGGGGAAUUAAAUAUGUAAAUAUUCAUAUUCCUGUACAUGGGUAAUAGAAUAAUUUUAUCUUUGUCUGUCAUCGGUUAUUAAAUUAGCACUUCUCGUGUUAUAAUAACUUCCUAAGAUGAGUUGUUUGUUGUCACUUUGUAUAUAAGCAUCUGCUAAAUAAAUAUAAUGUUUUUCCUGAAUAAAUAUGAUAGUUUUACAGUAAACAGAUACAAUCACUGCUUUUACUAUAAAGCCAUUUAAGAGAGUAUAUUUCUGCACAUGUCAAUCUAAAACGGUUACUAGAAUGAAUUAUAAAUAAAUACGAACUACAUUUAUAUUUUUAAUGAAAUUAAUUUCACUUUUAAUAAAUCUGUACUGCUCCAAA